rnacentral:rRNA from 1 species
GACGAACGCUGGCGGCGUGCUUAACACAUGCAAGUCGAGCGAUGAAGCACCUUCGGGUGUGAAUUAGCGGCGAACGGGUGAGGAACACGUGAGAAAUCUGCCUUCAACACUGGGAUAACUCCGGGAAACCGGGGCUAAUACCGGAUAUGAAACCUGCGGGCAUCCGCGGGUUUGGAAAGUUUUUCGGUUGAAGAUGAUCUCGCGGCCUAUCAGCUUGUUGGUGAGGUAAUGGCUCACCAAGGCGACGACGGGUAGCCGGCCUGAGAGGGCGACCGGCCACACUGGGACUGAGACACUGCCCAGACUCCUACGGGAGGCAGCAGUGGGGAAUAUUGGGCAAUGGAGGAAACUCUGACCCAGCGACGCCGCGUGCGGGAUGAAGGCCUUCGGGUUGUAAACCGCUUUCAGCAGGGAAGAAGCGAAAGUGACGGUACCUGCAGAAGAAGCACCGGCUAACUAUGUGCCAGCCGCCGCGGUAA